UACGUAGGGUGCGAGCGUUAAUCGGAAUUACUGGGCGUAAAGUGUGCGCAGGUGGCCGCGCAAGUCGAGUGUGAAAUCCCCGAGCUUAACUUGGGAAUUGCGCUCGAAACUACGUGGCUCGAGUGUGGCAGAGGAAGGUGGAAUUCCACGUGUAGCGGUGAAAUGCAUAGAUACAAUCAAGAACUCCGAUUGCGUAGGCAGCUAACUAGGCUGUAACUGACGCUGAGGCACGAAAGCGUGGGGAGCGAACAGG
rnacentral:rRNA from 1 species